rnacentral:rRNA from 1 species
UACGUAGGGUGCAAGCGUUGUCCGGAAUUAUUGGGCGUAAAGAGCUCGUAGGCGGUCUGUCGCGUCGGAUGUGAAAAUCCAGGGCUCAACCCUGGACCUGCAUUCGAUACGGGCAGACUAGAGUUCGGUAGGGGAGACUGGAAUUCCUGGUGUAGCGGUGAAAUGCGCAGAUAUCAGGAGGAACACCGGUGGCGAAGGCGGGUCUCUGGGCCGAAACUGACGCUGAGGAGCGAAAGCGUGGGAGCGAACAGG